rnacentral:rRNA from 1 species
UGGGGAAUAUUGCACAAUGGACGGAAGUCUGAUGCAGCAACGCCGCGUGCGGGAUGACGGCCUUCGGGUUGUAAACCGCUUUUUCUCAUGACGAAGUUUUUUGACGGUAGUGGGGGAAGAAGCACCGGCUAACUACGUGCCAGCAGCCGCGGUGAUACGUAGGGUGCGAGCGUUGUCCGGAAUUAUUGGGCGUAAAGAGCUUGUAGGCGGUUUGUCGCGUCGAUAGUGCAAACUCAGUGCUUAACGCUGAGCCUGCUGUUGAUACGGGCAGACUAGAGGAAGGUAGGGGAGAAUGGAAUUCCCGGUGGAGCGGUGGAAUGCGCGGAUAUCGGGAGGAACACCGGUGGCGAAGGCGGUUCUCUGGGCCUUUCCUGACGCUUAGAAGCGAAAGCGUGGGGAGCGAACAGG